ACGCUCCCGCUAGGACAAGGCAGUGACCCUCACACCAGGACAACGACAGAACCCUCAGAGGACAACAGGACCCCCUGGAGAAAGGGACGGUGACAGCUUCGGACAGGGUCUGAGGGAUCACCUGGAUACGCACUUGGAUACCUGGAGCAUUGCUCAGAGGAGGUGCCGAGGAACAAACCUUUGUGCCGGGUAGCGGCAGCCAAACAGGUCCGUGCUGGAGAGCGGGAGAAGGGUCCCUGCUGGCUGCCGUGUCCUGGGUGGGCACAGAGCUCUGACCUUGGCCAGAUGGGCUGGUUUCCGGGUGUUUUGAUCCUGACGUCGCCAAAGCCUCAGAUUUGCUGAACUGGGGCUCUUACCUGUGUGACCCGUGAAAUGUCCCGGAAGCUGAUCGAUGUCUUUGUGCUCCCGCUGUGUUCAUUUGGGCUGUGCUUCAGGCUUCUCUCCCGGGGCCCUUGCCGUUGCUGUAUCUCUUGGAUGCCGUGCAGAACGGAAUCAGGCAGCCAAGCCUCAGGUUCACCUUCUCCCUCACCCUCUGCGCUGCUCGUGUGGCACAGCAGAUCCUGAAGCCAGGUACUGGAACGUGCUGCGUGUGUCACUGCUGGGGUGAAAAACAGAGCCCUGGGGAGUGUCGAUCCCCUCACCUGCUCUGUGCUCGUGCGCUCUUGCCUGAGCUUUUCCUCCUGGGCAAGAGAAGGGGAGGGUGGGCAGCAAUGGGAACGCGCC